GGGCCCGCACAAGCGGUGGAGUAUGUGGUUUAAUUCGAUGCAACGCGAAGAACCUUACCAGGGUUUGACAUCCUGCGAAUCUCUUGGAAACAGGAGAGUGCCUUCGGGAACGCAGUGACAGGUGGUGCAUGGCUGUCGUCAGCUCGUGUCGUGAGAUGUUGGGUUAAGUCCCGCAACGAGCGCAACCCACGUCUUUAGUUGCCAGCAUUUAGUUGGGCACUCUAGAGAGACUGCCGGUGAUAAACCGGAGAAGGUGUGGAUGACGUCAAGUCAUCAUGCCCCUUACAUCUGGGCUACACACGUACUACAAUGGUAUUUACAACAGGAAGCAAGACGGCGACGUUAAGCAAAUCCCCAUAAAACGUGGCUC
rnacentral:rRNA from 1 species